CUGACAAUCGUUUGACACAGGGUUUUUUUUUAAACAUAUCUUUUGCUUUCAAAACAAACAUUACCGGGUAGUGUGUACAUUUUAUCACUUUUCAAUACCAAUCCCAGGGUAAAAUUUAACCAAGAUAGUAAAGUUAUUAACACCAUGGAACGGUGCAUCAAAGCUAUCCUCUCCGUAGUCCCGUUGAAAACUUUUCUUUUAAAUCGAGACUGUGUAAAAGAAAAUAAACUCUACCAAACAGUGCUUUCCACCAUUGUUGAACCAUUAGCAAACGAGCUCACAACAGAUGCUGUAAAAACCAUAUCUACCAAUUUAAUAAAAGUCGGUGUACUGUACGAUACUGUGUACAAUCGGUUGCACACCGGUCAGUGGAAUGCGGUGGCCACGAGCGAAAGGGAAAUGUUCACCAUCCUAACAUAUGUCCGUAUCGUGUACACCUUAUACGCAUCAAAUAGUUACGAAGAUGCAAUAAAAGAUAACAUAUAUUUGGCUGAUCUAGGAUUGAUGCUUGGAUGUCCGAUCGGGUUAGAGUGGAAGAACGUCCCAACAGAUUUGCUAACCGAAACGGCAUCGAUACUUACGGGAGAAUUAGAUAAGCAGGAACCACCCGUGAAAAGGAUUAAGCUGGACGACAUUACAGGGGAAAUAAGUUUAACGGAAAACAAAUCCAACGACGUUCCAAUAAUGAAGUGUCCAUCGUUAGAAUAUUUUGGAACCCGAUGCUACGAUACAAAGCAACCGGCCGUUCUGAAUGGAAUAAUCGAUGGCUGGCCGGCAAUGGAAUGGUGGCACGAUCCAAACUAUCUGCUAAAAGUGGCCGGCGAACGAACCGUACCAAUCGAGAUUGGUUCUCAGUACAGCAGUGAUGAUUGGUCUCAAAAGCUAAUGAAGUUUCGGGACUUCCUUGAGCAAAGUAUCUGCUGCGAGCCGUCCGAUUCGGCGGGAAAGCAACCACCGGCCUACCUAGCGCAGCAUGAUUUGUUUGAUCAAAUUCCUGCUCUUCGAGCGGACAUUUCCAUUCCCGACUACAUUGGCCGAACGGACGCACAGCCACGCAUAAAAGCAUGGCUCGGUCCAAAAGGCACUGUCUCGCCGCUUCAUACCGACCCGUGCCACAAUCUGCUGUGUCAGGUUUUCGGCGCUAAACUCAUCAUCCUCGCACGACCGGAAGACACGGAAAGGCUGUACCCGCACGACCACUUCAUACUGAACAACACCUCGCAGGUGGAUGCACGCCGACCCGACUACAAUCGGUUUCCGCUGGUGCGGGACGUUCGGUUCUACCGGCUGACGUUGCGCCGAGGUGAGGUGCUUUACAUACCGCCAAAAUGGUGGCACUAUGUGGAAUCUCUGUCACCGAGCUUUUCUGUUAGCUUCUGGUUUGAAUGAUUCAUGUUGAUUGCAGCCACCGGGUUUCUUGCUGCAACCCGAAAGUGGCCGAAAGCCGGCGUAAAUACUUAUCAAAUCACGCAUUCCAGUAUAAAACGGUGCGAGUGUGGUUGAAAGUGUCUCACAGACAAAUGUUUGAAAGCGAACGUUGCUUCGGAUGCGAUUUGACCACGAAGUCAACGCGCUAGGAACGGCAAGCACAUGCGCCUUGAUACAGCAUCCACACGAUGCGAGCUAUGGUUACAGUGCACCACCAAAAAUAUCAAUAGAAAUCCAUCAGUGUGUUGUUCACUGUGCCAACGGUACGAGCAGCAUCGUUUCAUUCAAAACGGAGGUAUAUCCUGCCACAAAUUAUCCUUCCUCGCAACGUGGACGUACGCGUUUAGUAUGCUCGAUGGCCUCGGGGUGAAAGCAUUCCACCACUGCUCGGUCGUUCUUCAGCUGGCAGGCGUUACGCAUCGAUAGGACCAGUGCCGGUAAUCGCGCAAAAGUUUGACGGAAAUCUUGGCGCGCGCGUACGGUGGCCGAUUUUUGGCGCCUCUAAUCCCACUUAAGCUAAAGCAAAAAAGCCCAAACUCUUGUGCAUCCAGCCGGCAGUGUCCUACAUUGUAUAGUGAACGUUUGCUGAUUUUGCUGUGGCCCCUCUGGACGCAACGGCAGUACGUUGUACGAUAUUUUUGAGUGUGAAUCGCUGAAUCCUUCUUUCUUACAUCGUAGUGUGCAUUGUGCUUCAUACGCUCCCGGCAACCACGGUUUUGUGACGUUCGUUUGGAGUAUAGUUCGGUGGCCCAGUUUGGUUGGUGCGGAAAAUUGAAUGUGGCGCGCAAAAAUUGUGCCGAUGAGCAGUGGUGGUGAAAACAGACGUGGCUGACGGGUGCAAUUUUAAAACACACAUACACACACACACACACACGCGCGCGCACAAUUCACACAGCACGUCUACCCACAAGCGCCAAAAUAUCUCCAUAACGAAAUCGCGUACGAGGCGGACGAAA